GGGCAGUUUGGCUGGGGCGGCACCCCGCAGAAAAGAUAUCUGUGGGGCCCAAAGAUAAACUCAUCCAGUUCGGAAAUCUGGAGUAGAGUGUAAAGGCAAAAGUUUAUCUGACUGUUUUUCGAAAAGCAAGAAAAGCAGGAGCGAAAGCUGGGCUUAACGAACCCACGUGGCUUUUUAAUGGAGCCCGUGGCUGUCAGAAAAGGUACCUCAAGGAUAACAGGCUUGUCGCCCCCGAUAGUUCACAUUGACGGGGCGGUUUGGUACAUCGCUGUCGGCUCUUCCUAUCCUGGAUGUGCACAAGCAUCCAAGGGUGUCGGAGUUCACGCAUUAAAAGGGAUCGUUAGCUGGGUUAAGAACGUCGUGAGACAGUUUGUAUGAUAUCUACUAGAUGUGUGGUUGUUUGAGUGGAAGGACCCUCCAGUACGAGAGGAACGUGGGUUCGGAGCCUCUGGUCUACCAGUUGUUAUGAGCAGGCUGGGCAGCUACGCUCCACACCGAUAAGUGCUGAAAGCAUCUAAGCACGAAGCGGUCCGCAAAACGAGACAACAAAUGCCGCGGUAAAAGACCGCGUUGAUAGAGACGGAAUGUAAGC
rnacentral:rRNA from 1 species